rnacentral:lncRNA from 1 species
UUUUUAUUAAAGAUAAGGGACAGAGAGAGAGGGAGGGAGGGAGGGAGGGAGAGAGAGAGAGAGAGAGAGAGAGAGAGAGAGAGAGAGAGAGAGAGGCUCUACAAAGCAGACUUGGUAGCCGGAAAAUCUAGUUUCUCCUCAAGGGCCUGGUUUGGUUUUUGAUUGGUUGGUUUGGUUUGGUUUGGUUUAGGUCUCCACCACCACAACUAUUUAUAACUCCCUCCAGACCAGCCCAUCAGCAGGGUACCUGACAGGCAGGAGAAAAGGCCCAAAAGACCUUUGUCUUAAACCAUCAGACUUUUGUCUCAGAGCAGGAAUGUGAGGAAGAAGCCAGGCAUCUUGGGAGUUUACCAUCUUCAUCUAGUCAUUGCAUCUCUCCCUCAUUGUCAGUUCUCCCAAAGACAACUGACUUUGAUUUAAUGAGGAAACAAAAUUGCUGUAGGUUAGGGCAUGAGGAAGGAGGCUGGGUCACAUCCCUGAACUGGGGUAUCACCCAUCAUCUAGACUCAGUGAUUUUUGUCCCCUCUGAUCCUCAGAUCUCAGAGCUCUUCCUUCAUGUCUCAGGACUAGCUGUGGCCAGAGGCCCAGCGCUAAGAUGUGUUACUCUAUUCUCUUUGUUACAUUGUUUCCUUCCCCCUGUUUUGUUUUAGAAUCAAUGGAGGAAGGUCUUCCCCAAACAGUCAAGAAUCCAGCCAAUUCUUUCCUGCCCAUGCCCCCUCCACUGUCAAAUUGGAUUAGUGCUCUUUAUAGAUAGCCUCAUUUGUCUCUAGGCUAUCCUAAGAGAAAUACAAUUUUAAAUGAAGUUUUGGGGUCAACUCAGCUGACUCACAGUAGGCAGUCAAUAUACUGAAACAGGUCUAUCCCAGGCUGUGUCUAGCAUAUUCAGCUGCCUUAACUGGCCUCCUGGAGAGCUACACUUCCCAUAAAAGAUUUGAUGGCUUAAUUCAUAUUUAAAGAUGAGACAGUUCCGCCUGGAUGAAUAAUUUGCCUGAAGUAAGAGUGAAUUUUAGUUUUUCAAGGGCAGGAUCCCAGCCUUGACCAGAGAUACAGUGGGAGCACACCCAUGUAGCCUGCUCCCUUGGGCUUCAAUUCAUGACUCCUGACAAGGCCACAGAAGGUGAACAGCUAGUCUCCUAAAUUAGAAACCUGCCUCUUUCAAAAGACCAGACAGAGCAUCACUCUGAAAUAAAAUGUAGCAAGAACCGAUGGCUCAGGCCACUGGUAGAAAAGGCUGUGUUACAAAAACAUUUUUUUAUUUUAAUUAGGUAUUUUCUUCAUUUACAUUUCCAAUGCUAUCCCAAAAGUCCCCCAUACCCCCCCCCCCACUCUCCUACCCACCCACUCCCACUUCUUGGCCCUGUCAUUCCCCUGUACUGAGGCAUAUAAAGUUUGCAAGACCAAUGGGCCUCUCUUUCCACUGAUGGCCAACUAGGCCAUCUUCUGAUGCAUAUGCAGCUAGAGACACAAGCUCCGGGGGUGUACUGGUUAGUUCAUAUUGUUGUUGUUGCAGAUCCCUUUAGCUCCUUGGGUACUUUCUCUAGCUCCUCCACUGGGGGCCCUGUGAUCCAUCCAAUAGCUGGAUGAUCCACUUCUAGUGAGCAUCCACUUCUGUGUUUGCUAGACCCUGGCAUAGCCUCACAAGAGACAGCUAUAUCAGGGUCCUUUCAGCAAAAUCUUGCUAGUGUGUGCAAUGAUGUCAGCGUUUGGAGGCUGAUUAUGGGAUGGAUCCCCGGGUAUGGCAGUCUCUAGAUGGUCCAUCCUUUCGUCUCAGCUCCAAACUUUGUCUCUGUAACUCCUUCCAUGGGUGUUUUGUUCCCAGUUCUAAGAAGGGGCAAAGUGUCCACACUUUGGUCUUCGUUCUUCUUGAGUUUCAUGUGUUUUGCCAAUUGUAUCUUGUAUCUUGGGUAUUCUAAGUUUCCCAGAUGCCCCUCAACAGAGGAAUGGAUACAGAAAAUGUGGUAUGUUUACACAAUGGAGUACUACUCUGCUAUUAAAAAGAAAGAAUUUAUGAAAUUCCUAGGCAAAUGGAUGGACCUGGAGGGCAUCAUCCUGAGUGAGGUAACCUAAUCACAAAAGAACUCACAUGAUAUGUACUCGCUGAUAAGUGGAUACAAAAACAUUUUAAGGAAGUGUGAGUGACUUCAACACUUCUAAAUCCUUAUGAGAAGCUGAAUAACCCCUAAAGAAGACAGUUGCUUAUUACCUUAAAUAAUAUAAAUAAGCAUGAAACCAUAGAUUGUUAUCCUAGCACUGAGGAGUCCAAGGUCAGGCAGGCCUAUAGUCUCCCUAAGGAGACCCUGUCUCCAAAGAAGACCAACCAAUACAACAAAAAGUGCAGGUGGCAUAAAACAAGCAAGUAUACAUCUAUUAGAAGACAAAGGUAUCCUGAGGUACCCAGAAUUAAAAUUAUUGAGGAUAAAGGAUAAGUAUGCUGCGGUGAGGUUAUCCUCUUGACUCACAGUAAUUGGAGGCUCAAUUGAAGCAACAUAUAUGAGAAGCAAUUUUGAAGGGCUAGUUGUAAAAUAUUGAAAAUGAAGUCGAAUAAACCAAACUGCUUUCUUUUUUUUUUCACUAUGAUCAAAUUGACUUUAUCUCAUGACAUGACUGGUUUAGUAUACUCAAAUUCAUAUAUGAAACACAUCAUAUGAAUGAAUUUAAAGACAGAAAUAUGACCAUCUCAAUAGAUACAGAAAACACCUUUGAUAAAAUCUAAUAUUCUUUUGUGAUAAAGUCCUGAAGACAAUAUGUUUGGAAGGAACACAAUUUUUUAAUGUAAUAAAAGAAAUAUAUAACAAAUGUAGUCUAUGUCAUCUCCUAUGAAGAAAAACAUGAGAAAAUAUUGUAAAAAUUAGCAACAAGACAGGGCUCCUCACUGUCUUCACAACCUACUCAACAAAUUGCUUGAAAUUUUUGCUAAAGCAAUAAAAAU